rnacentral:rRNA from 1 species
GAGUUUGAUCCUGGCUCAGAAUGAACGCUGGCGGCGUGGAUAAGACAUGCAAGUCGAACGAGAAACACGAAUAGCUUGCUAAUUGUGUUUCUAGUGGCGGACGGGUUAGUAACACGUGAGCAACCUGCCUCGAAGCGGGGGAUAGCCUCUCGAAAGGGAGAUUAAUACCGCAUGUGACCUACGGGUUAAAGGCGCCUUCGGGUGUCGCUUCGAGAUGGGCUCGCAGCCCAUUAGCUUGUUGGUGAGGUAACGGCUCACCAAGGCUUCGAUGGGUAGCCGGCCUGAGAGGGUGUACGGCCACACUGGAACUGAGACACGGUCCAGACUCCUACGGGAGGCAGCAGUGGGGAAUAUUGCGCAAUGGGCGAAAGCCUGACGCAGCAACGCCGCGUGAGUGUAGAAGGCCCUCGGGUUGUAAAGCUCUGUCGUGAGGGAAGAGAGCGGAGAGGUUAAGAGCUACUCCGUCCGACGGUACCUCAUAAGAAAGCACCGGCUAACUCCGUGCCAGCAGCCGCGGUAAUACGGAGGGUGCGAGCGUAGUUCGGAAUCAUUGGGCGUAAAGCGUGCGUAGGCGGUAAGGUAUGUCU